rnacentral:tRNA from 1 species
GGAGGAGUACCCAAGUGGCUGAAGGGACUGGUCUUGAAAACCAGCAGACGUUAGCGCGUGCGGGAGUUCGAAUCUCCCCUCCUCCGCCA